rnacentral:rRNA from 1 species
ACGAUGAAUCUUCUAGCUUGCUAGAAGUGGAUUAGUGGCGCACGGGUGAGUAAUGCAUAGGUUAUGUGCCCUUUAGUCUGGGAUAGCCACUGGAAACGGUGAUUAAUACUGGAUACUCCCUACGGGGGAAAGUUUUUCGCUAAAGGAUCAGCCUAUGUCCUAUCAGCUUGUUGGUGAGGUAAUGGCUCACCAAGGCUAUGACGGGUAUCCGGCCUGAGAGGGUGAUCGGACACACUGGAACUGAGACACGGUCCAGACUCCUACGGGAGGCAGCAGUAGGGAAUAUUGCUCAAUGGGGGAAACCCUGAAGCAGCAACGCCGCGUGGAGGAUGAAGGUUUUAGGAUUGUAAACUCCUUUUGUUAGAGAAGAUUAUGACGGUAUCUAACGAAUAAGCACCGGCUAACUCCGUGCCAGCAGCCGCGGUAAUACGGAGGGUGCAAGCGUUACUCGGAAUCACUGGGCGUAAAGAGUGCGUAGGCGGGGUAAUAAGUCAGAUGUGAAAUCCUGUAGCUUAACUACAGAACUGCAUUUGAAACUGUUACUCUGGAGUGUGGGAGAGGUAGGUGGAAUUCUUGGUGUAGGGGUAAAAUCCGUAGAGAUCAAGAGGAAUACUCAUUGCGAAGGCGACCUGCUGGAACAUUACUGACGCUGAUGCACGAAAGCGUGGGGAGCAAACAGGAUUAGAUACCCUGGUAGUCCACGCCCUAAACGAUGGAUGCUAGUUGUUGCCUUGCUUGUCAGGGCAGUAAUGCAGCUAACGCAUUAAGCAUCCCGCCUGGGGAGUACGGUCGCAAGAUUAAAACUCAAAGGAAUAGACGGGGACCCGCACAAGCGGUGGAGCAUGUGGUUUAAUUCGAAGAUACGCGAAGAACCUUACCUAGGCUUGACAUUGAUA